rnacentral:rRNA from 1 species
UGGGGAAUAUUGGACAAUGGGCGAAAGCCUGAUCCAGCCAUGCCGCGUGUGUGAAGAAGGUCUUCGGAUUGUAAAGCACUUUAAGUUGGGAGGAAGGGCAGUAAGCGAAUACCUUGCUGUUUUGACGUUACCGACAGAAUAAGCACCGGCUAACUCUGUGCCAGCAGCCGCGGUAAUACAGAGGGUGCGAGCGUUAAUCGGAUUUACUGGGCGUAAAGCGUGCGUAGGCGGCUAAUUGAGUCGGAUGUGAAAUCCCCGAGCUUAACUUGGGAAAUGCAUUCGAUACUGGUUAGCUAGAGUGUGGGAGAGGAUGGUAGAAUUCCAGGUGUAGCGGUGAAAUGCGUAGAGAUCUGGAGGAAUACCGAUGGCGAAGGCAGCCAUCUGGCCUAACACUGACGCUGAGGUACGAAAGCAUGGGGAGCAAACAGG